rnacentral:rRNA from 1 species
AACGAACGCUGGCGGCAGGCCUAACACAUGCAAGUCGAGCGAGCAUUUCGGUGCUAGCGGCGGACGGGUGAGUAACGCGUGGGAACGUGCCCUUUUCUGCGGAAUAGUCCUGGGAAACUGGGGGUAAUACCGCAUACGCCCUUUUGGGGAAAGAUUUAUCGGAGAAGGAUCGGCCCGCGUUGGAUUAGGUAGUUGGUUGAGGUAAUGGCUCACCAAGGCGACGAUCAGUAGCUGGUCUGAGAGGAUGAUCAGCCACAUUGGGACUGAGACACGGCCCAAACUCCUACGGGAGGCAGCAGUGGGGAAUCUUGCGCAAUGGGCGAAAGCCUGACGCAGCCAUGCCGCGUGAAUGAUGAAGGUCUUAGGAUUGUAAAAUUCUUUCACCGGGGACGAUAAUGACGGUACCCGGAGAAGAAGCCCCGGCUAACUUCGUG